AUUUAAGGCACCCAAUGGGCCUUAAAACUUCUAAGGAUAUAAGACAAUAGUGGUGAACCUAUGGCAUGAGUGCUGUAACCAGCUGUUUGUUAUUGAAAGCUCUAGAAGGUUCACCAUCGCUGAUACAAGUGUGAAAUAUCAAUAAACAGAAGACACACUCCCAAGCGGCCUGAACACUGGUGCUCCUGGAGACAACUUGGUUUAGAGAGAAAACAAGGAUGGCCGAGGAGUGGAUCUGUUCCUUGGAAGAAAGGACAACCCACGAGACGGGCUGCCAGUCACAGGAAACGCUGAACCACAGCCAGAAUAAGCUGCUUUGUGUAAUCAGGUGGGGGCCAGGAGCCCCCCUAUUCAGACUUUGACCUCAGAGGUACCUCCUGUGGACAUUUUGACAACUACUGAAGGAGUGACAGUCCCCGAGAUAUGCCUGGAGGAAUAUAAAAAUACACAGUAAGUACUCAACUGAGGAUGUGGUGCCAAACCACAGGAAGAGCCCAGAGAGAGAACCAGGCUGGGGUGCGGCUGGGAAGGCAAGUCACUGUGUGCUUUGGCUGAGGAGGGUGGGCUGGGUGCCACGGUAGUGAGCUAAAUUUAUGGGAAUCAGUGGCUCAGGGCUCAGAAAUCAGGAGCAAGGCACAGUUACUUUUAUCAUAUGUUUGCAACCAAUUAAAAGUGUGAGGUUCUACGUGUGAAUAAACUCAGCCCUUAUGUAUCAACACGGGCAAUCUCGAGGCAAUCUCACAUAUUAACGGAAACCAUUCAGUGGUGGGAAUGUACAUGAGACAAGCUACUUUAGAGGGCAACUAGGCAGACUCCAUUAAAACUUGGAGUCUGUCUCUGAGCACUGGUGAUUCCAUACUGAAACUCUCCGCACUUGUCUUCGAACUGUUUUGACAAGGACUCACAGUGUGACAUACAUUCGCUGUUCCAAUCCAGUACACAGACCCAUAUGGAAAGGAAGCGAAGCUUUCAUGAACCAGUAGUUGCUUUAGUUUAGUAGAUGGAAUGGACUAGGCUAUGUUGUAAUUUACUCCAGCUUGUUUGUGUCUUGGAGCUUUUUACACUGAUUUUGAGGGACUCAUGGAUAUACUCCAGUUAUGGUUUACAGCUAGAUGUUCCUGGACAGCCUCUUCACCCCCAGACAGGGCUUUUGAAAGGUGACUGAAUUAGGAAGGUGAUAUCACCGGUUUGCUGCCCAGGAGGCAGAGCCUGAAUAGAAGACACAGCUCCCUGUGGGGAUGACCUGGAACCGUCUAUCUUCCUUCCUUGAUUCUCUCUGCUUCCGGUCCAUCAUCCAUGAGCAACUCCCUUCCACCGUGCCCCUCCGCCACACUGUCCUGCCUGGGAGCCAGCCAGUAGUCAAAGUAAACCUUUCCUUCUUUAA